rnacentral:rRNA from 1 species
CGGUAAUUCCAGCUCCAAUAGCGUAUNUUAAAGUUGUUGCAGUUAAAAAGCUCGUAGUUGAAUUUCGGGAUCAAUUUAUCGGUCGUGCCUCUGGUAUGCACUGGUAUUAUUGAUUUCUACCUUCUGACGAACCAUGAUGUCAUUAAUUUGGUGUCAUGGGGAAUCAGGACUGUUACUUUGAAAAAAUUAGAGUGUUUAAAGCAAGCACACGCUUGAAUACAUUAGCAUGGAAUAAUGAAAUAGGACGUUUGACCCUAUUUUAGUUGGUUUCUAGGAUCGACGUAAUGAUUAAUAGGGAUAGUUGGGGGCAUUAGUAUUCAAUUGUCAGAGGUGAAAUUCUUGGAUUUAUUGAAGACUAACUACUGCGAAAGCAUUUGCCAAGGAUGUUUCAUUAAUCAAGAACGAAAGUUAGGGGAUCGAAGACGAUCAGAUACCGUCGUAGUCUUAACCAUAAACUAUGCCGACUAGGGAUCGGAUGAUGUUAAUUUUUAAUGACUCAUUCGGCGCCUUACG